UCUCUCCCCGUGUCUCUGCCCACGGCUCUGUGGCUCUGCCCAUCGCUUCUCUCCCCGCGCGUCGCCCACGACUCCACUCGCAAGAGCAGUUCCAAUCCCUCGCGCUCGCCGCCGCCCCCUCGCGCCCGGCCGACGCUCCGGCCGUUGCCUCGCGCUCCGCUCUCGCCUCCCAUGGGCGCGCGCCGCCGCCGCCCUCUCUCGCUGCCGACGCCGCCGCACUCGCCUCCCCCUCGCGCCGCCGCUCUCGGCACAAUUCCUCUUCCCAAUCGGCCCGUGACCUCUCCUCUCCCCCGCGCCUCUUGCCCUUCCAUCGUAUGCCGCCUCCCCCAAAAGCGCCGUUUGCGAGGCCCCUCCUCCAAGCCUCCUCGACCGAGACCCCCUCCUCCAAGCCUCCUCGACCGAGACCCCCUCCGCCACCUCGUCAUCCCCUUCCACGCCUCCCCCUCCCUAAAGCUUCGCGCCAUCCAUCCUGCGCCCGUGUGGAGGAGGCCAUGUAGGCAGCGGCCAUAUCCGCGAAGGAGGUGGCUGGAUCCACUGCGGAGGCUGCCGAUGUUGUGGUCAGCGCUAACUCCAUGCAGAUCCUCACCAGCAAGGUUCCACUGCACGAGCAGAAUGGUCUCUGGCUCCCCACGACCUACUAACUCACCGAUCCCCAACUCCAGUUUCCUAUUAGAUUAAAUUCUUGAUGCAUGUCUCCAAGUGUUCCUCACCAUCUUCUAAGCGUAAUGAUCCCUCUGUCAAGUUCACUUGUUGCAACAAAUACAUUGUGAUUCAUCUUAAUGUUACAUUUCUUCAAGACUGCUGGUGAGUAGUAGUGUGAUUAGAGCUGACAUUCCUUGUAAUUGUUGCUGUCCAGUUCAUGCUAAUAAGGCUGUCGAAGAGGCUGGUUCUAUAUAGUCAUAGAUUUUUGUUGAUUAACAUCCAGUUAAAGAUGCCAGCUACAGCUAUCAGAGAAAUAAUAUAGUUCCUCUGAAAGAUUUCUUCCUAUUCUGUUCAUGGUCAGAGGGUGUUCAGGUGAACACAAUUCAUUAGCUCGUUUAAUUGUGAGCUUGCGAUGAAAUAAAAGAACUGAAAGCUUUUAAGCAUUUGGAUUGGACAGGCAUUUGAAGGGACAUCGACAAGACGACAAGGACACCAGCGAGUUCAAGCUGUCCGUCAUGGUGGAUGGCCCGUGGCGACUGAGUUCUUGACACAGUAUAUAUGAUGAAUCGGCCAUAGUAGUUUUGUAAAUGCCUUGGGGUGGAUGCAUUCUUGUCUCCAAACCACCUGAUCAACAGCUGAAGAUUCAGAGGUGACAAAAUCGUGAUACUGGUUAUGAACUUAUGCAUAUGGAGGAAAAAGAGGAGAAUGGGCAUAUUGCUCAGCUGUUCUUGCACCGCUGUACCUGUUUUGUCAUUCAAAAUUGUUAAGAUGAAGCACACAAAAGAAGCAAUAUCAUUUCCUCUAAAACAACACUGGCUAAAUGUGUUUCUGAAUAUAAUUUGCUUGGUUCAUUUGGCAA